UCAGGACGAACGCUGGCGGCGUGCCUAAUACAUGCAAGUCGAACGCUUCUUUUUCCACCGGAGCUUGCUCCACCGGAAAAAGAGGAGUGGCGAACGGGUGAGUAACACGUGGGUAACCUGCCCAUCAGAAGGGGAUAACACUUGGAAACAGGUGCUAAUACCGUAUAACAAUCAAAACCGCAUGGUUUUGAUUUGAAAGGCGCUUUCGGGUGUCGCUGAUGGAUGGACCCGCGGUGCAUUAGCUAGUUGGUGAGGUAACGGCUCACCAAGGCCACGAUGCAUAGCCGACCUGAGAGGGUGAUCGGCCACAUUGGGACUGAGACACGGCCCAAACUCCUACGGGAGGCAGCAGUAGGGAAUCUUCGGCAAUGGACGAAAGUCUGACCGAGCAACGCCGCGUGAGUGAAGAAGGUUUUCGGAUCGUAAAACUCUGUUGUUAGAGAAGAACAAGGAUGAGAGUAACUGUUCAUCCCUUGACGGUAUCUAACCAGAAAGCCACGGCUAACUACGUGCCAGCAGCCGCGGUAAUACGUAGGUGGCAAGCGUUGUCCGGAUUUAUUGGGCGUAAAGCGAGCGCAGGCGGUUUCUUAAGUCUGAUGUGAAAGCCCCCGGCUCAACCGGGGAGGGUCAUUGGAAACUGGGAGACUUGAGUGCAGAAGAGGAGAGUGGAAUUCCAUGUGUAGCGGUGAAAUGCGUAGAUAUAUGGAGGAACACCAGUGGCGAAGGCGGCUCUCUGGUCUGUAACUGACGCUGAGGCUCGAAAGCGUGGGGAGCAAACAGGAUUA
rnacentral:rRNA from 1 species